rnacentral:lncRNA from 1 species
CCAUGUCUACCCUUCUCAUCCCCUUAUUGGUCAUGCAAAGUGAGUUUGGUCACUAAUUCCUACUGCAUGCUGCUACCCGCCCCUUCUUAACGGUCCCUGAGGGUGUUAGGACAUCUGCCUAUAGGUGGUUUUAGACGUACCGCUAAGGUUUUAAAGGCAAAAAUCUAAGGCGAUAGUCAGAAAUAUUUAAGACUUUCACAUAAUGGGAGCAAUUAAGAGGCUAACAAUUUCCUCCUCAUACAAGCAUCACGACACAAUCACAGUUAAGGUCUUUAUUAGUCAAAUUCCUAAAGCAUGAUUUCUAAGUGAUUAUGCAGAAAUAGACCACCUUCAGAUUCAGAGGUUAUAACCUAAUAGUUGCCUGGUGACUCCUUUUAACAGCUUAUUAGAAUUAGAAAUGUUGAACGAUGGAAACAACUUAAGGGAAAUGGAGGUUUUGAAAAAUGCCCUAAGGCUUGCCUAUAUACAGUACUGUGUCUAUAUAUUAAUGCAAAGACAAACAAGUUUUCAAAAUAGAC